GAUGAACGCUGACAGAAUGCUUAACACAUGCAAGUCCACUUGAAUUUGGGUUUUUACCUUAGGUUUGGGUGGCGGACGGGUGAGUAACGCGUAAAGAACUUGCCUCACAGCUAGGGACAACAUUUGGAAACGAAUGCUAAUACCUAAUAUUAUGAUAAUAGGGCAUCCUAUAAUUAUGAAAGCUAUAAGCGCUGUGAGAGAGCUUUGCGUCCCAUUAGCUAGUUGGAGAGGUAACGGCUCACCAAGGCGAUGAUGGGUAGCCGGUCUGAGAGGGUGAUCGGCCACAAGGGGACUGAGACACGGCCCUUACUCCUACGGGAGGCAGCAGUGGGGAAUAUUGGACAAUGGACCGAGAGUCUGAUCCAGCAAUUCUGUGUGCACGAUGAAGUUUUUCGGAAUGUAAAGUGCUUUCAGUUGGGAAGAAACAAAUGACGGUACCAACAGAAGAAGUGACGGCUAAAUACGUG
rnacentral:rRNA from 1 species